GAGUGGUCCAUAUUAUGGCCUUUCUAACCCAUUCUUUCAUCGUCUUCCUCUCAACAAAGACAUUCUUGUUUUCUCGAGCUAGGCGGAGAUUACCCCUCGAGUGCAAAACUAGAACGCGAGCUUGGCUGCAAGACCCACCUGUGAAAUCCCACGUCGAAAUGUUGGAGAGGAGAACAAACCAUUCCUUAUAAAAUUGUGAGGUUAACGGCGAUAUGCAACAAGCUAGGGCUUGGACUGUUACAAAUGGUAUCACAGCUAGUCACUGGGCAGUAUGUUAGCGAGAACGUUGGGCCCCUAAAGGGUGGAUUGUGAGGUCUCACAUCGGUUGAAGAGGAGAACGAAACAUUAUUUAUAAGAGUAGAAAUCUCUUACUAAUAGUGGACAAUAUCUGUUAGCAGUAAUCUUGAGCGGUUACACACUUUGUAGAAGGGUCGUCACUAAUUCUCUUAUUAUCUACUUUCUUUAGAACGUGUUCUUGCAAGGUUGCUUAAAGCUUCAAAGAACUAAAAUACCCGAGAAGCCAUUCGAACUGAAUCGAACUAAACCUAAGCGGUUUGAGAGAGAUUUCUAUUUGACUGAAAAUGGUGGGUUAGAGAGAGAAGAUUCCUUAAUCACCUUUCCUUUUUACCAUCAAUGAUGAUGUUCAUUUUGCAUCUCCUACAUUUCUGUGAAAAACGUUAAAUAUUUGUCACUUUCUUGCA